GGAUAGUUCAGUUUUGUAGAGCAUUAGGCUCUUAAUCUCAGGGUCAUGGGUUUGAACCCCACAUUGGGACA